UUCCAUGAGGCACUGACCCUGGUUACAAAGUGAUGCCAUGAUUCAAAUGAGGAUGGAGAGUGCAGAGGCAGUGGAGGCAAUACCAGUCUCUGCCUCAUUGUCUCCUGUCCUCAUGGGGAAGGAAAAGCUAUUUCCUCAUGAUGGACCCUGAGAUUCUGCUCUGCUUCUUCCCAGGAGCCCUUCCAAAACCCUCCAUCAGGGCCAAGCCAGGCCCUGUGCUGCCCCAGGGACAGCCUGUGACCAUCCUGUGCCGUGGCUCAGCUGGGGCUGAUGUCUAGAUCUGCCUGGAGCCUUGAAGAUCUGCUUUUAGGGAUCAGGAAAUCUUGUCUCAACAUGGCUCGCCAUGGGCAGAGACCAGAUUCCUCAUCCCUGCAGUGAGUGAAGAUGCUGUUGGGCGUUGUUGCUGCUACUAUUGCAAAGGGUCCAGCUGGUAUGAGCCCAGUGAGCUGCUGGAGCUGAAGGUGACAGGUAAGGAUGUCUCCACUGCACCCUCAGGAAAAUCCCAAGAAUUCACAUUUCCAGUCUCAACAGUCACCCUUCCACCAACAGAAGUCCCCCUGGUACCCACAGAAGUGGGCUCCCAGACAGGCCCCACCUCCCAGAAUUACAUGGUGGAGAACUGUGUCUGCAUCAGCCUGGCUGGCGUGGUAUUGCUGAUCCUGGUGGUGAUUCUGGAAGAGUCAGGGCACACCCGGCACAGGUGGCCCCACCCACCACAGGGAUGGACACAAGGGGGAUCCUGCCAGAGAGAUUAGACCCUGAAGCCCCAAGAGGAGUCUUUCCCAGGGCCCCAAAGAUUAAGCUGGAGCCCAGUAGAUGCAAUGCCACUCCCAUGGUGUGCUCUGAAGUGUGCCAGGGGCGGCUGCCCUGUGAGACCCUCACUCUGUCCCUUAGAGCACAGAGGCCACGACACUCACAUUCUUCUGAGGCUCCCAGGAUUUGCCUCCAGGCCCGACAUGAUCACUGACCAACCCCAGUUUCCCUGGGUCUCCCUUCUCUCUGGGUCCUAAGACAGGCCCCAGGGCUCCCCACCCUCUGCUGCCCUCUUCCUUAAGGCCUCCCGCCCGGUGUCAGAGGCUCCAGGCUCUCAGCUGUGGCCAUUUCCUCUGUGUCCACACCUGACCCUGAGGUGGUCUCAGUGUCCAGGGUCUCCCUCCCACGUGACUGUGAAAUGCUCCACUGGGAUUUCCCACCUUUCGGCUGAAUUUUCCCUAAAAACCCAUCAAGGCUUCCUCGCACAUUCUGCCUCCACAGCCCCUCUCUUGCCCGCAGCUCAUCCAGGAACACCGCCCGCUCCCAGACAUUUGGUGCUUCUUUCACCUGCCCUCGUGCU